AAUGUAGAGGGGAGAUUGGAGCAUUAUGGCCCAUGUAGGGGUCUAGUGCAUGCAUUUGAGUAGUUCAAAUGUUUCAUUCCUCAAUUCAGCAAAUUCAAGAGUAUGAUUGUUUCAUUGAGUAAUCAAAUAAUUGAAAAAUUGAAGAGCGGUUGGAUUUUGUUGUAUAUUUUGCAAACUCAACUACAUAUAAGUAAUAAAAAAAGCCAAAGGAUUUGGUGGUUCUCGCGUGAUUUCAUUAACCCUCAUUAUCUUAUCUUUUGUAUUGUGCAUUUUUACAUAGAUAGACUCGUUAUUUGUAUUCUGCAUUUUAGGACCCUUGAAGCAAUAGUCAAAAAGGAUCUCAUCAUCCCAUCUCAAUUGUGGUCCAGGUCUUUCCAAAACUUGGCAGAUGGCUCGUCUUUCUCAUCUUCCUUACCGUUGCCGAUCCAUGAGCUCCACCUCGGAAUUUUGGCUUUAUAUAUUUAAGAAUCCGAUGUUCAGCGCGGGGUGUGGUCUUGCUUCUGUUUUAAUUGGGAUUGCUACAGAAUGAAUGUUGAAGUGAGUGUUGAUAUGGCUGAGCCGCAAAGAGGAAGGAAUCUGUUGUGAGAGUAGGUUUUUUGCCUUGGAAUUUGAAGGAUGGGGGCACUGCUUGGAUUAGAGGAGAGGCGCAGGUUUGGUUUCGGAUGGACUGCUUGUGGUUUCUUGCCUGUCUGCACUGUCACCAGCCUUAUGAUUUUGCCGAUACUUUGGGAAUUGUGUGCAAGUGUUGUGGUCGACAAAUGUAUAUUUUCCCUAGGUAUUCUUGUUCUAUUGUUCUCCUGCUACUAUUUGUCCAUGAUGUUGGUCUAGCUUUAUGCAUGAUUGCUGUUGAUUGCAGGGUCUAUAUUGCUCUAUCAAUUAAAGAUGACUCUGGCUCUAUGAAUAUUCUGGUUAUUGGCGAUGAAGUUGUGCGCCUUAUUGGUCUUGCUACUUUUCAUCUUUAUGCGCUCGAUGAACAAGAUGUAGUGUAGCUUGGUUUUUUUUAUA